CUACAGGUGCACCACAGAGAGUAUCCUGACCGGCUGCAUCACCGCCUGGUACGGCAGUAGCUCCGCCCUCAACCGUAAGACAUUACAGAGGGUGGUGAAAGCUGCCCAUCACAUUACCAGGACGGAGCUGCCAUCUAUGGAGGACCUCUACACUCAGCGCUGCAGGAAGAAGACUAACCGGAUUAUUAAAGACCCUCAUCACCUCGUGGGAUGUGUUCCUCUUGCUCCUUCCCUGGCCUCCACGCCCACACGGCCUGCUGUGUCUUCUGACAGUUCCCUCUCCAGGUCCCCGUGCUGGUCUCUCCCCCUGGGGGUCGGGGGGAAACUGCCUCUUUCUGUGUC
ensembl:lncRNA